UUGCAGGUUUUGAUUGGUUUGUUUGGAAGCUAGCGUGGUUCAAUUGGUUAUAUUUGGAGGUUUGCGUUGUAUUUGGUAAGCGAGUCUAUUUAUGUUUUGGCUGAUUUUGAUUGUAUUUUAUUUGCAGGUUUUGAUUGGUUUGUUUGGAAGCUAGCGUGGUUCAAUUGGUUAUAUUUGGAGGUUUGCGUUGUAUUUGGUAAGCGAGUCUAUUUAUGUUUUGGCUGAUUUUGAUUGUAUUUUAUUUGCAGGUUUUGAUUGGUUUGUUUGGAAGCUAGCGUGGU